rnacentral:lncRNA from 1 species
AUAAACUGGCAUGUUCUGAAAGAAUCACUCUGGAUGCUGUGUGGAGAAAACACUGAAAAGGAAUUUGUUAUCUCGAUUAUGGAGGGCGACAAGUCCCACAGUCUGCCAUCUGCA